AGUAACGGCGAGUGAAGCGGCAACAGCUCAAAUUUGAAAUCUGGAGUCCUUGGUGGCUUCCGAGUUGUAAUUUGCAGAGGGAGCCUCGGAGGGCUGGUCGGUCCAAGUGCCUUGGAACAGGAUACCGCAGAGGGUGAGAGUCCCGUAUCCGGCCGACGCAGUGCUCCGUGUGAGGCCUCUUCGACGAGUCGAGUUGUUUGGGAAUGCAGCUCUAAGUGGGUGGUAAAUUCCAUCUAAAGCUAAAUACUGGCCAGAGACCGAUAGCGAACAAGUAGAGUGAUCGAAAGAUGAAAAGCACUUUGAAAAGAGAGUUAAACAGUACGUGAAAUUGUUGAAAGGGAAGCGCAUGGGGGCAGACUUGGGCGCGGGGUUCAGGGUCUCUUUUUUGGAGGCGUGUACUUCCCCGCGGACAGGCCAGCAUCGGUUCUGGGGGCCGGACAAAGGCGAUGGGAACGUGGCUCUCUUCGGGGAGUGUUAUAGCCCGACGUGCAAUGCGGCCACCUGGGACCGAGGACCGCGCUUCGGCAAGGAUGCUGGCGUAAUGGCCUCAUGCGGCCCGUCUUGAAACACGGACCAAGGAGUCUAACAUCUAUGCGAGUGUUUGGGUGGCAAGCCCGGACGCGCAAUGAAAGUGAACGGAGGUGGGAGCCCUUUCCGGCGCGGAGGGGGUGCAGCAUCGACCGAUCCGGACGUUUUCUGAAGGAUUUGAGUAAGAGCAUAGCUGUUGGGACCCGAAAGAUGGUGAACUAUGCGUGAAUAGGGUGAAGCCAGAGGAAACUCUGGUGGAGGCUCGCAGCGGUUCUGACGUGCAAAUCGAUCGUCAAAUUUGCGUAUAGGGGCGAAAGACUAAUCGAACCAUCUAGUAGCUGGUUCCUGCCGAAGUUUCCCUCAGGAUAGCAGUAACGCGCGGCAGUUUUAUGAGGUAAAGCGAACGAUUAGGGAGCUAGGGGUUGAAACAACCUUUAUCCAUUCUCGAACUUUAAAUAUGUAAGAAGUCCUUGUUGCUUUGUUGAACGUGGACACUCGAAUGCGGCGUUACUAGUGGGCCAUUUUUGGUAAGCAGAACUGGCGAUGCGGGAUGAACCGAACGUGGGGUUAAGGUGCCGGAAUGCACGCUCAUCAGACACCACAAAAGGUGUUGGUUCAUCCAGACAGCAGGACGGUGGCCAUGGAAGUCGGAAUCCGCUAAGGAGUGUGUAACAACUCACCUGCCGAAUGAACCAGCCCUGAAAAUGGAUGGCGCUCAAGCGUGCUACCCAUACCCCACCGUCUGCGCAAGAGGGUUUGCGUAGACGAGUAGGCAGGCGUGGAGGUUUUGUGACG
rnacentral:rRNA from 2 species